rnacentral:rRNA from 1 species
GCGGCGUGCUUAACACAUGCAAGUCGAACGGUGAACACGGAGCUUGCUCUGUGGGAUCAGUGGCGAACGGGUGAGUAACACGUGAGCAACCUGCCCCUGACUCUGGGAUAAGCGCUGGAAACGGCGUCUAAUACUGGAUACGAGUAGCGGCCGCAUGGUCAGUUACUGGAAAGAUUUAUUGGUUGGGGAUGGGCUCGCGGCCUAUCAGCUUGUUGGUGAGGUAAUGGCUCACCAAGGCGUCGACGGGUAGCCGGCCUGAGAGGGUGACCGGCCACACUGGGACUGAGACACGGCCCAGACUCCUACGGGAGGCAGCAGUGGGGAAUAUUGCACAAUGGGCGGAAGCCUGAUGCAGCAACGCCGCGUGAGGGAUGACGGCCUUCGGGUUGUAAACCUCUUUUAGCAGGGAAGAAGCGAAAGUGACGGUACCUGCAGAAAAAGCACCGGCUAACUACGUGCCAGCAGCCGCGGUAAUACGUAGGGUGCAAGCGUUAUCCGGAAUUAUUGGGCGUAAAGAGCUCGUAGGCGGUUUGUCGCGUCUGCUGUGAAAUCCGGAGGCUCAACCUCCGGCCUGCAGUGGGUACGGGCAGACUAGAGUGCGGUAGGGGAGAUUGGAAUUCCUGGUGUAGCGGUGGAAUGCGCAGAUAUCAGGAGGAACACCGAUGGCGAAGGCAGAUCUCUGGGCCGUUACUGACGCUGAGGAGCGAAAGGGUGGGGAGCAAACAGGCUUAGAUACCCUGGUAGUCCACCCCGUAAACGUUGGGAACUAGUUGUGGGGUCCAUUCCACGGAUUCCGUGACGCAGCUAACGCAUUAAGUUCCCCGCCUGGGGAGUACGGCCGCAAGGCUAAAACUCAAAGGAAUUGACGGGGACCCGCACAAGCGGCGGAGCAUGCGGAUUAAUUCGAUGCAACGCGAAGAACCUUACCAAGGCUUGACAUAUACGAGAACGGGCCAGAAAUGGUCAAC